CCAACCCGCCCAGCCUCCACGCUUCCCCGAGGAGCCCGGCACUCGCCCAACGGCCCCCACGGAGCACCGCAGCUUCUCGAGCCAAUUCUGAACAUGAUGCCUUGGUUGAUGCAUCUUCCUGAGCAUCAUCAAAAAGUCCUCUGAGCCCACGAUGCUACCCUUGACUUCCUCAGGGAGACUGUGAAGGAACACAAGGCAACCUGGGAUCCAGCUUUCACACAGGACUUGAUCAAUUCUUUCCUGGUGGAGACAGAAAAGGAGAGAGACACACAGAUGCUUUGGGACUGAGUGGUAUUGCAAGGUUCUGUAUUAGUAACAGAAGGAUCCCUGCUAGUUAUACUGAGGCCUUGAUUAUGUUUGUUGCAACUUCCAGGGGCACUUCUUCCAGUCCCACUUCUGCAGGUUUGCUAGUCAGUAAAAGAAACCAAAUAGAAAUCAAACAGCCUUUAUUCAUUGUCAGUUGGUUAGUCCAACUGACAGAGGAGGAGUUUGCCAGGGUUCAUACAAAACCAAAGUUCUCUAGGAAAUGCAUCUUGACACUUAUAACCAUCCCAUAACAAGCUAGCAUAUGGAUGCAGACAGCUGGCCUCUCUCUUGCCUAUCAGCGUGUUAUCAUUUUAAUCACUUUCCACAUUUCUCAGCUGUGUGCCUGACGUCCAAAUCAUUCAGGAAGCUGUCCCUUGAUUGGGGUGAGAGUUUAUAUUCUCCACCCCAGCAAUUAUACACCGCAUGCUAAAACCAUUGUCUAAGAAUGCCUUGCCACCUUAACAACUCUACCAAUGCAAUUAUCAUGCACAGAGUCCUAGAUUUCUUGUCAUCAUAGCACAGCAUUGGAAUCGCUUAACUCCCUAAAGUCUGAGCUAAUGUAAGCUGCGUGACUAACUGCAAGUCUCAGACUGUGUUAGCAUACACCAGUUGUGUAUCUCUGUAGCUACCAUGCAUGGGGCCCUAAAUUAUAUUAUAACUCUACAAAGCCAUGUAAAAAACCAUGAUUUUUAACAUUUUCUAAUAAAACUUUAAAUACAUCAAUUCUUAA